CCCAGCACUCAAGAGGCAGAGGCAGGCAGAUCUCUAAGAUCAAGACCAGAUUGGUCUACAAAGCAAGCUCCAGGAGAGCCAGGGCUACACACAGAAACCCUGCCUUGAAAAACCAGAAAAGGACGAGAAAGAAACAUCACCCCACGAAGGUUCUCUGUAAGGCUGCUGAGAUGUCAAGACCUGCAGGCCGAGGGACCUAGGGCUGGGCUCAGUGGAACAUGGCCCUGUGCCUCCUGGUGGAUGCCCAGAAGCAGUGGGUGGCAGCUUAGAGAAUUCAGGUGGAAGGACCCAACAUGGAGCACCCAUGGGUGUCCUUCUCUUCCUCUUCUUAGGGCAGCGCCAGCUGAGAAGUUGGCACGUCUCCAGCCCUGAGUUCGAGUUGGGUGACCUCAGUUCUUAGUACCCAGCUCUAAAGGCAUGCACCACCACUGCUCAGUUUAUUCUUUUAAAAAAUUAAUAUAAUCUUCUUCUUCUUAUUGUGUGUGCGUGUGUGCACGUGCAUAUACGAUCACCACAAAGGACAACUUCUGGGUGCUGGUUCUCUUUCUGUGGGUCCUGGGGCUUGAACUCAGGUCACUAGGCUUGUGUGUCAAGCACUUCACACACUGAGUUGUCUUGCUGGUUGGUCCUCAUCACUGCUCUUUGAAAAAGCUAAGCAUCGUUGUCCCCGUCUGGCCCUGGGAUCUGAACAUCAUCCCUUCUCAGCCUCACACUGCAGAAAAUGAAGAUGCCACUGCCUGAGCCGGUACCAAGCAGGUGGCUAAGCCCUCAAACCUGUUUUCUCCCCGUGAAGGUCAGAGAAGCCACUGAGAAGUGUACAUCAGCUCCAUCUAGACAAUGGAGGUCAGACAACCCACCCCAAUCCCAAAAGGACACCAGCAGAGUGGAGCAGAAAGGACAUCCCAGAGGUCACCUAGGACAACUCACCAGGAUUGGUUGAGGACUGGGAAAUCGUGAUUCCACUCAUCAAAUAGAAGAGAGAAGAAACCCUAUUUAAAGAACGCCCUGAGGACUUUUAAGAAGCUGCCGGCGCACUUUUGCAAAUCCAUAAUUCAGGGUGGUGAGGUGACUCAGAGGUUGAAGGUGCCCAGCAACAAGCCUGAGGUCAAUCUCCAAGAAGAAAAGAACUGACUCGUAG